GUCCACGCCGUAAACGAUGGAUACUAGCUGUUCGGGGUAACCUGAGUGGCUAAGCGAAAGUGAUAAGUAUCCCACCUGGGGAGUACGUUCGCAAGAAUGAAACUCAAAGGAAUUGACGGGGCCCGCACAAGCGGUGGAGCAUGUGGUUUAAUUCGAUGAUACGCGAGGAACCUUACCAAGGCUUAAAUGUAGUCUGACAGGACCGGAAACGGUUUUUCUUCGGACAGAUUACAAGGUGCUGCAUGGUUGUCGU
rnacentral:rRNA from 1 species